UACGAAGGGGGCUAGCGUUGUUCGGAAUUACCGGGCGUAAAGCGCACGUAGGCGGAUAUUUAAGUCAGGGGUGAAAUCCCAGAGCUCAACUCUGGAACUGCCUUUGAUACUGGGUAUCUUGAGUAUGGAAGAGGUAAGUGGAAUUGCGAGUGUAGAGGUGAAAUUCGUAGAUAUUCGCAGGAACACCAGUGGCGAAGGCGGCUUACUGGUCCAUUACUGACGCUGAGGUGCGAAAGCGUGGGGAGCAAACAGG
rnacentral:rRNA from 1 species